rfam:Triticum aestivum genome assembly, contig: Triticum_aestivum_CS42_TGACv1_scaffold_570353_7AS
UAAGUACUCCCUCCGUCCCAAAAUAAGUGUCUCAAGCUUAGUGCAACUUUGUACUGAAGUUAGUACAAAGUGAGACACUUAUUUUGGGACGGAGGGAGUAUAUG